rnacentral:rRNA from 1 species
CCUACGGGAGGCAGCAGUGGGGAAUAUUGCACAAUGGGGGAAACCCUGAUGCAGCGACGCCGCGUGAGUGAAGAAGUAUUUAGGUAUGUAAAGCUCUUUCAGUAGGGAAGAAAAUGACGGUACCUGUUUAAGAAUCCCCGGAUAACUACGUGCCAGCAGCCGCGGUAAUACGUAGGGGGCAAGCGUUAUCCGGAUGUACUGGGUGUAAAGCGAGCGUAGACGGCUGCACAAGUCUGUAGUGAAAUGCCGGGGCUUAACCGCGGAACUGCAUUGGAUACUGUGCAGCUAGAGGGCAGGAGAGGUAAGCGGAAUUCGUGGUGUAGCGGUGAAAUGCGUAGAUAUUAGGAGGAACACCAGUGGCGAAGGCGGCUUACUGGACUGUAACUGACGUUGAGGCUCGAAAGCGUGGGGAGCAAACAGGAUUAGAUACCCCUGUAGUC